CUUGACCCUGGAAGAAAAGUACAGGGUACGCUGGUUCCUGCCUGAGCACGGGAGGUUUCACCUGGCCAGCCAGAGCUCCGAGCUUUGACAGUCACGCAGUGAAAGUCGCCCUGUUCCGGAGAGGAAAAAACAAAAACACUGCGAAACUCUUUCAUGGACCAACUCCUUUACUUCCCCCAACAACCCUGAGGUAGCUGCUCAUCCCUACAUGCAACAGAAAAUGGCGCAGUCGGGAUGUCCUCGGCAGCACCCGCAGUGGAGAUGGGCACAGGCUCCGGAGUCCGCUUCCUCUGCUGACACCUCAGCUCUCUUGUUUCCUACCAAUGUGACCUCGCGCAAGUGGCUUAUCAUCUCUCAGUGUCCACGUCUUCAUUAGUAAAAUGAG
rnacentral:lncRNA from 1 species